AAAUUUGAAAGAAUUGAAGGCAUUAUCCCGAAAAAAGGAUCAAGGUCUCUUCUUCUCUCUCCAGAACUCGCUUCUUCAUCCUCUCUCUCUCUCCACACUCGUCUCUUGUAACUGAGAGACCCAAAGGCCUCACCUUUGAUCUAAAAAGGUAACUUCCAUGGAGGAACAGAGAGAAGAAAGUGCGUCCCUUGGGGAUUCCAGAGUGCCCUUGGAGGAGGAAACUGGUAAGGAACUAGGGUUAGGUUCUAAGUCCGAAACCCUAGUUGAUGUUCCGGUGAAGGAGCCAUGCAUCGGAGAUGCGGAGGUUUCUGGUUCUGUUACUAAGGAUGAUGGCGUUGAGAAGAAGGUUGUUAGCUCUGGUGAUGAUGUUGUAAAGACUGAUGCUUCUGCUUUCAUAGAGACUGAAACCGAGAGAUGCCAAAUGGAGUGUCAGGGAGAUGAUGCUGAUGUGAAUGAGGAGGAGGCAAACGGUGGUGCUUCUGAUGCUGAACAAAAUGUUGAAACUGACAAGUCCCAACAAGGCUCAGUGGAUGAAUCAGGUCAUGAGGAUGAUGCCAACAUGGAUGUUGAUAGCAAACAGGCGAAGGAAGAGAAUGUUGGAUCUGAGACCAACAAUGGUAAGCAUUCAGAAUCUGUUCAAGUUCCGGAGGAGUCUACUCAGGAGACAAACGAAGAAAACCCUGCUGCUGAAACAUGUGCUGAAGAAGAAACAAUCACUGGUAACCAUGAAGAAGAAAACGGAGAAGCCAUGGAUAUCGAUUAUACUGAAGAGGAGGAAACGGUGGAGAAGGUUGUUUUGGAUGAUGAUGCUGCCGGUGCAAGUUUGGGUGUACCGACCCAAGAUGUUCCAAUACCUGAAGCUGACAGCAACGCUUCCAAUGAAGUGAAGGGAAUAGAAGUUGAUGAAACUAAAGAUGAUGCUGAUGUGGCAGCAAAUCCAAACAGUUCCACUGAAGAUGCUGCUGAUCCAGGUGAAGUUGAACCGUUGGAUCAGAACGGUCUUUUUGAUCCAAGGUCUGAUAUUACCAGCUUUAUUGACUUCAGUGGUGUAUCAUCUUGGUCAGGGAAUAUACAAGACCACCUUAAAACUGAAACUGGGAAUGUAUCUUUGAAAGAGGAUAAGAAAGCAGCUACCGUCGUCACCGCAGAGGAAGAAGUUGCCACGGAGGAGGAUAACGCUGAAGGUGUUGAAAAUGCUUCCAAUGAAGCACAUGUUGCUACACAGUGUCCAGAAGAGGCUUCUGAUGCAAUUUUAGGAUCUGACGAAAACCAAGACGAGAAGGAUCAACAAGAUACAAGGAGGGAGGGAGGUGACACUACUCAUGAAGCUCCAAGUAUGGAUCAAAACCCACAGGAAGAUACAGUAAUGGAAGAAAAUACUGGCAACUCUGAUUAUGCUGAAGUUGGAACUGAUUCUGAUAUUAAGACCAAUGGUGUGAAACGAAAGGCUGAUGUCCUGAGUGAGGAGGAUUCCUUAGAUGAAGGUAGGAAGACUGUUUCCUUGGCAAAGGUGUCUUUUGCACAAAAGCCCUCUUUCAAGAUCGGUGAUUGCAUAGCCAGAGCUGCCAAUCAGAUGGCAGGAUCUCCUUCAGUUCUCAAGGGUAGUAACCUUGGUGAUGAAACUCUUUCUGUGGAGAGUUUUGUAUCCCAGCUUCACUCUGCAGCAACAGACCCUGUAAAAGAGAACCUUGUGUCUGAAAUGGCCACUGGCUUUUUCUUAGACUUCCGAAACUCAUCGGCCUCGCAGCAGUAUGUUCCAGAGAAGGCAAGCAGUAAAAGAGGUAGACCAUCCAAUUCGAAUGCAGGAGGAGGAACUGAAGCAUUUGAGUUUGAGGAAAUGGGAGACACGUACUGGACUGACAGGGUGAUCCAUAACGGUGGUGAAGAGCAAACGCCAGCUGCUACUGAGAAAGAAAACUAUCAAGUUGUGCCGGUUGAGCUGAAACCUGCUCAGGUCAAAAAGACUCGUCGUCCAUACAGAAGAAGACAGUCUCAGAUCAGUUAUCCUCUUCCUUCAGCUUCAGACAAACCAGCGGACUUUGAUGAGAAUGCACCAGCUGAGCUUAUAAUGUACUUUUCUGAAACGGAUACAAUACCUUCUGAGAAGAGCCUGAGUAAAAUGUUCAGGCAUUUUGGACCAAUAAGGGAUUCACAGACUGAGGUUGAUGAGGAGAAAAACCGGGCUAGGGUAGUUUUCAGGAAGGGUGGUGAUGCGGAGGUUGCUUACAAGAGCGCAGGAAAGUUCAACAUCUUUGGGACGAAGACUGUGAAUUAUGAGCUCAGCUUUACAAUCACUGAAGCAUUCAAAGUUCAGCCUUACGUUGUGUCUUUAGGCGAGGAGGAAGCAGUGGUAUCUCUUCCUUCUUAGAUGUAGUUCUGAUUCAGGCAGGCAGGCAGGGUUUUCAGAAGCUAAGACCGAGAAGAAUUGGACAUAUGCAUAGUAGUGGCCGGGUAGAUUAAGGCCAUUAACACAUAUAUAUAUGACAAGUGUUGUUAAUAGAUAAGGUGAAAAGAAUUGGCAGGCAUCAAAAGAAGUAAACGAUGAAGUGGAAGGCUUUGCUUGUAUCUCUGUUAGAGAGUGAAAUUUAGACUGUGUAAUAAGUUUGAGACAAUAAUAUGUAUCUUCUAGAGACCAGAGAUGUUGAUUUUGUUUUGUAAUAUGACGAGGCUAGAGAGGUAAAUCAUUUUUUUUUCAUGUUCUUAUUGGUAACAAAACUUUUGAGUUGGUGUUGUUUAAUCAAGUGAUGUUAGGAGUGUCA